GCUGCUGCUGUCUCCCUCUCAGUGCGGUAACCAGCAGACACACGGCAGAACUGAACUCUCUGAUCUAAAGCAGCGCUUCGAGAGCCUAUGUAAGAUUUCUGUAACAAACCUUAGUAGCUUUGUGUAGUAACCAACGGCUAUAACACAAAGUCUGCCAGUUAACUUUAAGAAGCAUCUAAGGAAGUUAGCACCAAGCUAACUGUAAGGAAAACAGACAGAGCGACCGGCUUCCUCCAUCUGCACAAUCGGAAUACUGCACUGCAAGGACUUUUCCCAGAACCACAAUUCUUUCCAGCCUGGCUAAUCCACCACGGAACCACCAGCAAACGGAGCAGUUCUUGCAAAAGCAACUUCUUCCUUUACGGACUGCUGCUCCCCCACAAGGAGGCAGGAGCUGGGUGGGGGGGCGCUCUGCAGUGGCUGCACUUGUGCCUGUUGCUAGGCGAGAGUCGGCACCAUGGCCGCCUCCACAGCCAAUCAUGAUGAUGCAGGAAGCUCCGGGACCAAUGAGGCGGCUCAGCGAGGCAGUGGGCUGACGCUCAGGUUCUUCGUGGAGUUUUUUCGACUGAUUUCUCAAUGGGAUUGUUAUAUGUUGGACAUCAAAGCAGGUAUCUUCUGUUAUUUUCAGCCCGCUGCUUUUUGUUUUAGUAGCAGUGGUAUUGGGUUCUUUGUCAUGGGCCGUUAAUGGUGACGCCUCUUCACAAGGAAGCUCUUGGGAGUAAUUAAAGUAAUCAUUAAUUGA